AAGAGCGGAAGAUGGUUUUAAAAACCUGGCAUUCCUGAGAACAGGGCCACAGCGAGGAGAUCCCUGAGGGGCAUAUUACUGGAGGCUGGGGCUUGGGGCCAUGGUCUUCCAGGGGGAGCACUCCUGGGGGAC